GCAUCCAUGGAUGAAUGGUUAAAGCGCCCAACUCAUAAUUGAUGAACUCGUGGGUUCAAUUCUUGUUGGAUGCA
rfam:Picea glauca, whole genome shotgun sequence.